GCCUCACAGAGGAGCUGGUCAGAGGCUUCCGUCUUUCUGUCUGCACCCAUUGGGAGCCAGCUCUGCCCUGGUGCCAUCCAGGAACCCUGAGGACUGAUCUCUCCAACCUUGGUGGAUUCUGGAGGGUUCAGCCUCUUUCUCGCUUUGUGUCCCGCAUUCGAGGGCAGGCAAGAGGCUUGAAAGGAAAACUAAAUAUGGCAAAACCAUGGCUGGAGAUUUUGGGAAGCUGGAAAGCAGGGAGACGAGAGGGACCACCAUCCCGGAGGAGGGAGGAGUUGCGGCCCUGAGCUGCGGACACUCUAGUCUGAAGGGGACAGAGUCCUUGCCAGGGAGCCGCCCCUACUCUGCGGAGGGAGUAGUCUUCUGGAACCUGGAGAGAGCGUCUAUACAUCCUGUCCUCUCCCCUCCCCUCCCUUUCCUCUUCUCUCUUCUCCUCUGCUCCUUUCUUCUCUGCUCCAUCACAGCCAAGCCCAUGGCCUUGGAGACCCCGGGGUGCAACGGGAUCCCCAAAUAGGAGUGUUUUGCACCUGGGGUUCCCAUUACACAUUGUAGGCUGGGAGGUGGGCUUCGGAAGUGGAAGGCAGCUCGGACGUUAACUCCAGCUGGGGGAACUGAGGCCCACCAGCACACUGCAUGCUCCAGGGCUGGGGGUGGUGCAGAGAGGGGCUACAGAGCGGGUCCCCGGGGAGAGGGCGGUGGGCAGGCGGCAGGUGGCAGGGUUCUCCCUGGGUCAUGACAGGGCCCCUCCAGGCCCACUUCUCAGCCCUGCCCCCACGCCCUGGGGGGGGGCCAGGUUCGCGGGCAGCCCAGCGGGUGCCCAGGAGGGGGGCUGGGGCUCGGAGGAAGUGCUGAGUCGGCACUCAGAGCCUCCGCCGCCUCUCCUGCUCCAUUACUCAUCCCGAAGGGGCCGCCCUCCCUCUGCCCACCCAGGCCCGGCUCAGAAAUGCCCCCACCUCCCCUCCCCGGCGCUCCCCCCUCAGCUGGAAACUCUUAAGCAAAAAGGUCGUCAAGAUGAUUAAAUGCGAACAGAUUUUCAGCUCUUUUUCCA
rnacentral:lncRNA from 1 species